ensembl:lncRNA
AUGAGGGGCCUCUGGGGCCCAGAGAGGGGCAGCAACUGGCCCUGGGCCACACAGCACCCGUCUCCCAGCAUCUCCCUAAGGAAGCGCCAACACUGGCUCCCUACACUGAAGAGCUUGCACGGGGUAUCCUGCUGCAGCUUAGUCUCUAAGCUGAGUCCGACUCUGCGACUCCCUGGACUGCAGCCCACCAGGCUCCUCUGUCCAUGAGAUCUCCCACCCAAGAACACCAGAGUGGGCUGCCAUUUCCUUCCCCAGGGAAUCUUCCUGAGUCAGAGAUCAAACCGGCAACUUCUGCAUUGGCAGGCAGAUUCUUCACCGCUGAGCCACCUGGGAAGCCGGCAACAGGGGUCCCCAUGACUCUCCUAACCCCUUUCAAGCUUUCCUGUCUCCCUCUACCUGUGACACUUGGGGUUUCCCCCUGAGCCAUGCCAGAGGACCCAGGAACCGGCCAGAAGCUACACAGGUGUGGCCCGGGUAGAUACCAAGCCCUCUGGGACAGGACAGAACAGAGAGAAGGCCAACUGCUGGAAAGCCCCUUGCAGCUGCCCAGGCCUCAGACGGCUCCCGAGAAAACCCAAGAGAGACAGGCCGGGCCCCGGCCCCUCCCCUGCCUUGCGGCACAGCCUCGGUCCCCCUGGCUGCUGCCUGCUCGCUUGCUCGGGUAGAGGACACAGCUCAGGGGCCAGAGACUUUCAUUUCCUCCUGACUCUGGUUCCACUAGCAUAAAACGACAAGUAUUUUGUUUUCAACUGAACUUGAGGUUGGGGGGAACUCUACUCAAAGGUCAGGGAGAGUCCCUUGCAAACCCAAAGGGAUCCUCCCCGCAAAGAGGGAAGGAGGUAGUAACUGCAUAGUAACAGAUUGUUAACUAAUUUGUAGUCGUUUCGCAGAGUAUACCAGUGCGGAAUCGUUAUGUUGUACACCUGAAGCUAAUAUAACGUUGUAUGUCAGUUAUACGUCAAUAAAAAAAGGAGGAAGGAGGGAGAGGGAGUGGAGGAGCAGGGUGGGGCUGCGGGGUGACACGGGCAGGGAGGGGGGAGCCCCACGCCAGCCCUCAAUUCCCUCCCUUGUUCCUCUUCCUAUACCAUCCACCUCUCAACUUCCCCUUUCACUACCCCCUCCAAAUUCCUCUAAACCACACGGAAAACUUGUUGACUUUUUCCUCAUCAGAGCAGUCCCCUCUAGACCAACUAGCUGAUAUUUUGUUGCUGAUUUUCUCCCUCAGAAGGCUACAGACCUGCCCGGCGUGGGGAGUGCUGCCAGCCCUCUAUGCCGGGACUCCACAGCUGGAGGGCUCAGGAGCAAGGGGAGGAAGAGAAGGGGAGACAAGGAAAAAGGAUGCACAUGGGCAAGCAUGAUCAAACCAGGAGAGACGCCCUCCAGACAGGAGCCGCCUGGGCUACCCGCUCCCGACCUCUGCAGCUGGGGGGAUGUCAGUCAACCCCUUUCCCUCUCCGAGCUUCCUCAUUUGCAGUCACAUCCUCCUUAAGGAAGAAGCCGUUUGAGGAUGUUUUUCAACAUCUGACAGCAGAACUGUUUUGUUUUAAUAUGAUUAUUUCACAAUACAAAUUGAGCACUGACAGCAAAAUAAGGAAAAAUGACAUUUGUCUCUAGAUUUCUCUUGGUCCUAGUUCACCUUAUUGUACACGAGUAGCAGGCACUGCGUUCAUAUCAUGUGUGGCAAAAUACUACAUCCACUAUGGCUGACUCAUGUUGAGGUUUGACAGAAAACAGCAAAAUUCUGUACAGUAAUUAUAUAAAUUCAAUAAAAAAUAAACAAAUUUUUUAAAAAGCA